GCAAUCUGCCCUUGACUCUGGGAUAAGCGUUGGAAACGACGUCUAAUACCGGAUACGAGCUGUGAAGGCAUCUUCAACAGCUGGAAAGAAUUUCGGUCAAGGAUGAGCUCGCGGCCUAUCAGCUAGUUGGUGAGGUAAUGGCUCACCAAGGCGUCGACGGGUAGCCGGCCUGAGAGGGUGACCGGCCACACUGGGACUGAGACACGGCCCAGACUCCUACGGGAGGCAGCAGUGGGGAAUAUUGCACAAUGGGCGCAAGCCUGAUGCAGCAACGCCGCGUGAGGGACGACGGCCUUCGGGUUGUAAACCUCUUUUAGCAGGGAAGAAGCGAAAGUGACGGUACCUGCAGAAAAAGCACCGGCUAACUACGUGCCAGCAGCCGCGGUAAUACGUAGGGUGCAAGCGUUAUCCGGAAUUAUUGGGCGUAAAGAGCUCGUAGGCGGUUUGUCACGUCUGCUGUGAAAACUGGAGGCUCAACCUCCAGCCUGCAGUGGGUACGGGCAGACUAGAGUGCGGUAGGGGAGAUUGGAAUUCCUGGUGUAGCGGUGGAAUGCGCAGAUAUCAGGAGGAACACCGAUGGCGAAGGCAGAUCUCUGGGCCGUAACUGACGCU
rnacentral:rRNA from 1 species